rnacentral:rRNA from 1 species
GACGAACGCUGGCGGCGUGCUUAACACAUGCAAGUCGAACGAUGAAGCCGGAGCUUGCUCUGGUGAAUUAGUGGCGAACGGGUGAGUAACACGUGAGUAACCUGCCCUUGACUCUGGGAUAACUGCGGGAAACUGUAGCUAAUACCGGAUACGACCCUCGGAGGCAUCUCCUGGGGGUGGAAAGAAUUUCGGUCAAGGAUGGACUCGCGGCCCAUCAGCUAGUUGGUGAGGUAAAGGCUCACCAAGGCGACGACGGGUAGCCGGCCUGGGAGGGGGACCGGCCACACUGGGACUGAGACACGGCCCAGACUCCUGCGGGAGGCAGCAGUGGGGAAUAUUGCACAAUGGGCGCAAGCCUGAUGCAGCAACGCCGCGUGAGGGAUGACGGCCUUCGGGUUGUAAACCUCUUUCAGUAGGGACGAAGCGAAAGUGACGGUACCUAAAGAAGAAGCACCGGCUAACUACGUGCCAGCCGCCGCCGUAA